rnacentral:lncRNA from 1 species
GGUGCUGUUGAAUAAGUGGAUGCUUUGUCAGAUCCUUUUAUUAUUGCUUUGAUUGUGUGCUGUUGCACCGACACAAGGUUAGAAUAUAAUAUGGCACUAUUAAUGUCUAAACUUAGGCAGAUUAGCAUGAUUAACAGACCAUGAGAAUGUUUGGUAAUGACAUGGCAGCACUUGAAGAUGAAUCAUCAAAUUUUGAUUUGGGAAAGCACAUUUAACAAUCCGCAUCUCAAGAAAUGUAAGUAAUCUGCUUGUCCUUUCAGAUGUGUUAAUGGACUCAUCUCAUCCAUCCCUUCUGGAUUAAGGCAAUAGCCUACAACAACCACAAAUACAAUUCCUCUUGAAAUGU